AAGUAAGUAGCCACUCCGAUAAACAAACCUGAGUUGCCUUUUCCCCUUCUCUGCCUCCACCUAUUAGACAGCCUGCUCGACCUUCCCAGCCAUGUCAGCAUUAUGGUCACUCGUAUGGUGACCUACCCUGUCAGCGUAUCAAUCAUGUCUGCUAUCAGUGUGGAAGCACCCAGCACCUCACAAAGGACUUCCCCCAACAGCCAAAGGAUGUGGC
rnacentral:lncRNA from 1 species